rnacentral:lncRNA from 1 species
AGGCAACCCGCGGGCCGAGACGGGGUAGUGAGGGCCGGAAGCCCGGCUCCCGACUCCGCUUCGUCCCCACAACCUCCGGCCGCCUGAAGUCCUGAGGGGCCGUGGCCCUGGGUCGUCUCCCCUGUUCCCAGCCUCCAGUCGCAGCUGGCGGAGAGAAGUUCCCGAGGCCCCCCCGACUUGCAAGGAGGCCGAAUUUUUUCCCAAUCCCAGAGAAGGUGUCAGAGGCCUGGAGCUUCCCUUUCCAUCUCCAGGGCUACUGAGAAAAUGUUGGACAGAGGAAGGAAGGCAGGGCAGGGCCAGGCUGCAGCUAGCAUCUGGACUGUUGGCUAAUGCUGGUGAUGGCGCAGAAGACCCUUGCCCCCUUUUACAGCUUCUCCCCUAGAAGCCUGGCCCAGAUGCCUGAAUUCCCACCUUUCAUGCACUUAGCCCUGGGGCUUGCAGUUUUGCCAGGUCCUUACUGCCUCCUCCCUCCUGUGGCCUGCCCGGAGGGGCACACAAGCAAAGCCAGUGCCUCUGUGGACAGGCAGCUUAAGACAUUAGGAGACAAAUGAAGGAAGGAGGCAAAACUUCCAAGGCCGGACUAUCUCCUCUGGACCAGAGUUUCGGCCUGCUGGGAAUGGAGUCACCAGCCCCGGGGGGGCUGACAGGUGGCUCCCGCCUACAGAGCUGUAACUCAUCCCUGCUGCUGAACAGGAAAGGGCCUGCCUUACCCAGAUCCCAUCCUCCGGAAAGGGUUAGUCAGGCAAGUGUGCUGAGAGGCCCCUGGGAACCUCGUCUCGAUUAACCCAUCAGAAAGCAGCCCAUCCUUUGCACCCAGCUCUCAGAUGGAAAAGUGAAGCCCAGAAGGAAGGGACCUGACACGGAGGCUUCCUUGGUAGCAUUUCAGUCUCAAGGGAAGAACUGUGGGCCUCCCCUGGAGCACUGGUGAAGUAAGGGGUUGGUUUGGAUAUUGUCUCCUGACUGGGAUAUGGGCAGGACUGACAGGGAGCUGGAGUCCUAACGAAGCCUGGGCUAGGUGCAGGAAGAACCAACCCAGUGGUCUCCUGACAUCUCCCACGCCCCCACCGCAGCUGGGUCACCUCCAGAAUACGGAGGAGAGAGCUGGAGGUGGAGGAACUAAGGACCUUCUUUGCCAGUUUCAGUUACUCAUUGUUGGGGCUCAGAAACCAAUACCCCGAAAUAUAGUGGUGUGACAUUCUGAACUGAAGAAGCCUUAAGGUCUCUCCGACCAGACUCCCACAGGCCCCCCAACCCUUUGUCUCUUCCAAAGCAUACAGUGAAGUUGUUCUCUGAAGUUCCUCAUCUGCCUUAAGUCUGGACCCACCAAAGAAGAAAACAAUGACCACUGGUCCCUUCCCGGAGUUUUCUCUGACUGAACUGCUGUCACAGGAAGAAAGACUGAAGCCUGCUCACAUACCUGGACAGAUUUUGCAAACCGUUGUCUGCUCUGUGAGCCCAACAGACUUUGUCCCAGGCCACUGUAUGUUCUUCAAGCCCACUGAAUUCCCCUGAAAAUCAUUUACUAGCCCCCUGAAAUUACCCACACUUCCCCAUUGCUCAUCUGUACCCCAUUUCGUGGUGGGGCAGUCACUCUGAUUUCCCCUUGCAUGCUAAUGAAUGUGUAUUCCAUUUCUAUUCUGCUUUCAUGAGCUGACUUUUCAGUGAACCUUCAGAGGGUAAAGGGGAAGUUUUCCCUUGGCCCCUGCACCGCAAUUGGUAAGGUCCAAAAUGUUAAAUGGAAAAUUCCAGAAAUAGCUGGUCGUGAUGGCUCCUGCCUGUAAUCCCAGCACUUUGGGAGGCCGAGGUAGGUGGAUAGCUUGAAGUCAGGAGUUCGAGACCAGCCUGGCCAACAUGGUGAAACCCUGUCUGUACUAAAAGUACCAAAAUUAGCUGGGCGUGGUGGCGCACGCCUGUAGUCCCUGCUACUUGGGAGGCUGAGGCAGGAGAAUCACUUGAACCUGGGAGGCAGAGGUUGCAGUGAGCAGAGAUCGCACCACCACUCCAGCCUGGAUGACAGAGUAAGACUCCGUCUCAAAAAAAAAAAAAAAAGAAAAUUCUAGAAAUAAACAAUUCAUGUUUUAAAUAAC